rnacentral:rRNA from 1 species
CGCUGGCGGCACGCCUAACACAUGCAAGUCGAACGAAGUAGCAAUACUUAGUGGCAGACGGGUGAGUAACAUGUAGGUAUCUGCCCUUUGGCCUGGAAUAACACGAGGAAACUUGUGCUAAUACCGGAUAAGUCUUUACGGAGAAAGCUUUAUGCACCAUUGGAUGAGCCUGCACUUGAUUAGUUUGUUGGUGGGGUAAUGGCCUACCAAGACUGUGAUCAAUAGCUGAUUUGAGAGGAUGAUCAGCCACAUUGGGACUGAGACACGGCCCAAACUCCUACGGGAGGCAGCAGUGGGGAAUCUUGCACAAUGGAGGAAACUCUGAUGCAGCGAUGCCGCGUGAGUGAAGAAGGCCCUUGGGUUGUAAAGCUCUUUCGUCGGGGAAGAAAAUGACUGUACCCGAAUAAGAAGGUCCGGCUAACUUCGUGCCAGCAGCCGCGGUAAUACGAAGGGACCUAGCGUAGUUCGGAAUUACUGGGCUUAAAGAGUUCGUAGGUGGUUGAAAUAGUUGGUGGUGAAAUCCCAGAGCUUAACUCUGGAACUGCCAUCAAAACUUUUCAGCUAGAGUAUGAUAGAGGAAAGCAGAAUUUCUAGUGUAGAGGUGAAAUUCGUAGAUAUUAGAAAGAAUACCAACUGCGAAGGCAGCUUUCUGGAUCAUUACUGACACUGAGGAACGAAAGCAUGGGUAGCGAAGAGGAUUAGAUACCCUCGUAGUCCAUGCCGUAAACGAUGUGUGUUAGACGUUGGAAAUUUAUUUUCAGUGUCGCAGGGAAACCGAUAAACACACCGCCUGGGGAGUACGA